UACGUAGGGAGCAAGCGUUGUCCGGAAUCAUUGGGCGUAAAGCGCGCGUAGGCGGCCCGAUAAGUCCGCUGUAAAAGUCAACGGCUCAACUGUUGAAAGCCGGUGGAUACUGUCGGGCUAGAGUGCGGAAGGGGCUACUGGAAUUCUCGGUGUAGCGGUGAAAUGCGUAGAUAUCGAGAGGAACACCUGCGGCGAAGGCGGGUAGCUGGGCCGACACUGACGCUGAGGCGCGAAAGCUAGGGGAGCGAACGGG
rnacentral:rRNA from 1 species